GGAGGAAUUUGAGGCCCAGCGAGUUAAGUAACGUGAACAAUUUCUUGCAACCAGCAAAGGGACAGAACUCCAAACUUCUUCUGGGGGGCUGAGUGGAGACCGAAGCUCCCGCCAGGACAGACAAUCAGCAAAGCUGCGCCGGAGAGCAGGAAAUGUUCCAGCCUCCAACGGGAAGUCUCGCCUCUUGGCUUCUGUUUUACCAUCCGGAAAAGCGGGGCUGGGACAAUUCUAGCCCCGAAAACACAUGAAACUGGAUCCUGAACAAGGGCCCUGAGUGUGAAACUAGAGCCGGGUGGGCAGGCUCUAGGCAAGCCGCCAGGGCGCCCGCCGCUCCUGGACGGCUGGAGGGAAGGUGCUGCGAGGCCCCGCCUCCUUCGAUUCAGCCUCAGUUCUCAGAGGAGGGGCCUCAGGGCCUUGGCCUCACUGAGCUUGUAGGCGUCGGAAGCUUGGAGGCCCUGCGCACGGAGUAGUGGCGGCAAGCGGCCCCCUCUGCGCGUUGACCGCAGGGAGGCGGCGGCCGGGCCGCACAGCCUGGGUGGAAAUGGAUGGACUGCGGAUCUCGCGCACCAGCUGAUCCUGAUCGUACAUGUCCGCUGGUGGGCAGCACGGAGCCGGGCGUUCCUGGCAGGUGGAGGUGGGGACCAGGGCACGGGGGAUGAAGAAUCCCAGGAGGGGCGGCCAUUGGAACAGGGAUUGGGUGCACCUAGGAAUGUCUCCCGAGUCGUGGGGUCGCGCGCUACUGAGCUCCCUUCUAUGCUGGGAUUUCACUGCCGUUUCUUAAGAUCUGUUCCAUAGUGGGCAUGACCCAGAAUCUGGCUGUUAGGAUCAUCUUGAGCAGAUCCAAAAUCCCGUUGGCUUCAGGUAGGGCCAGCUCCAGCUCACGGCUGUCCUGGGUGCUGCGAGGGGCCUGCCUGAUUUCCCUGCCUUCUCUCAUGGGACCAGAAUGUGCUUCUCUUGUGGGGACACAGGUGGAGAAAACACUAACAUCUGAGAAGUUCAGAUCCUGGACAAAUCCAAAAAAGCUGACUAAAGAAAGUUCAAUUUCUCCUCCACAGAUUAAAGCUGGAGGAGACUUAUAGCUUGGAGUCUUUUUCUUUGAAGUUUAGGACUGGUGUGUUUAAGGAAGCCAAGGCCAACUUUCCUGGAAUGUUAAUAAGAAGUGUGUGUCCAAGGUCAUGCACAGAAACCUUGCAAAGGGACUAGUGAAGAAGGCACAGAGGCAGUGUCUGUGCUCAGGACUGCCUGGGCCACAGAACAGAACCCAGACUUCACGGACGGUCCUUUUCUUCUCUUCCUCUGGCACCACAAAACUGGCAGCAUUUUGUUCUGUAGUGGGUUCUCUUCUCCAUAAAAAGGCACGGUUGCUGGCCAUGUCCUCCCUUCCCCUUCUGCCUACCUUGCCUUGAUUUAAAUCUUGAGUGACCAAAUCAGUGUAGCAAUUUGCAUGGCAAAAUAAAAUGUGUGCACUUGGGUGGUUUGUGAAUGUUUGUUGGGAGCAUUCCACAGCUGCUUGAAUAACUGAGGCUUUGGAUGUGUGAUGUUUGGGGCUGAUGCUUGUUUUGCAAUAUUUGAGGUGUCCUUGAGUGGUUCUGCCCUCCCUCUAUAAUCUGGGAUGGCUCCCCUCUCAGACUGUGCUUACUAUUUGUGGGUAUUUUUGGAGCAUCUCAGGGAUCCAUGGACCAGUCCUCUGCUCUUCUGUCCUGGGAUCACAUCAGAGCUCUGCUGCCCACUCCUGCCAACCUCCUCAGGAAAUGCCAGUGCCCAGGCCCUGUGGCUCACAAAGCCAGAGAUCUUGACAUGUUAACCCUGCAGCCACCCGGGGUUUGUCUCUUCAACAAUUGAGGCAGUAUCCCUCAGUGUCUUCUUCAGUGCCACACACAGCCCUGCAUGUUCCAUAUCUCAGAGAGUCCCUUGUAGAAAUAACUGAGGUACAUGUCCAGGCCUUAGCAAUGAGCUUCAGGACUGGGCUAGGAGGUGGUACUCUGAAGCAGAAGCCUGCAGCCCUCUCCAUCUCUGUCCCUGGAAGCACACACCAAACUCUGCCUAGUUCUCCUGAAGCCCCCAAGGAAACCCUCACAUACUCACCAGCUCCUGGGAACAAUGGCCUGUGUUUAUCACACAUGCUCCGAUGUGGCUCAGGCGUAUCUCUUGCUAAAGAAAAGAUCUCCCUACAUUAAUGUAUAUUUUGAUUACAAAAGAAUAUGUGUCGUGGCAGAAAUUUGGACUAUAGAAAAUAUGAAUAAAAUUUAAGUUGUCCACAGAUCUGUGGCCACGCACUGAAGAAGUUCUCAGACAGACGUGAGCGGACAUGCAGGGCUGCCUCUGGGAGACAGCAGCAGCCACAGCAGCCUGCACACAGCCUUUAUUUCCUAUCUCAUUAGAUAGAAGUAUCAAAGAAGAUCACAGCAUGGAAAGAGGGCACAGAGGAUCUUUAGACAUUAACCAGAUAUGCACCUGGUGGCUAUGUGAAGGCAGGCAGGGAGCACAUCUAGUUUCAAGGAGUGUCAGGGAGUUAUAGCAGGUUUUGUAUCUUAACUGUCCCCUGGGGGAUCAUGAGGCUCUGUAUCUCAUAAUGCUAUUGCCUUCAACAGCCUUUAGACCAGAACCUUGGUGACAGUUCAGCUAUCCCCAUUCACCCUCCAGGACAUAUAAUACAUUCUCUAGAAAUAACUCCACACAAAUCCACACCCAGCAAUCACUACUGUUGAUGGUGAGAUGUGUAUAUUUUUAUAUAUCCCCUUCCUUGGGGAAGGUCAUUGAAAAGGCAUGACUGCCAGUUGACCUGUGAGCUGGAUCCAGGCCCUCAGAGGCUCCACACACUCUCUCCCCUGUCCUGGGUAUGUGGGUUUCACUUACCUUUCCCACUUGCAGAGACUGCUCCAAGGACACGGUUUUGAGACUGAUGUGGCGUGGAAAAUAUCUGCAUGGUGUAUGUGACUGAACUCAGUUAAGGUCUCUUUAGAAACUUUUUAAGAUUUGGUGGGUGGGUGCUGGGAUCCAUUCAUCUUGCUGCCACCCAAUACAAGCCAAGCUUAAUAAAACUGUCACCUGUCUACCAACCUGGAGUGGCCUGCCUCUUUCUUCAGUCUCUCCCUGCCCUCCGAGCAUGUAGCUGGUUUCAUAUUCUUCCAAGGAAGUUCCUAGGAGGGUUUCCA